AGCGUCCCAGAGGGCUUGUCUGCUACAGGGGCUCCCAGCGGCCUCCCGCACCGAAGGGACCCUGGGCGUCUGAGGCCCUGAUCCGGGCGGGCCUUCAGGAUGUUAGCAGUCCCUGUCCGGUUGAAGGCCUGCGGGGCGGGGGCGGGGUGGCGCCCAGGACGACUCCCCGGGCUCAGCUUGGCUGCCUGCCUCCUUCUGUAAGUGCUUUUUUUUUCUUCACCUGGGACCCUCUAGAGGUUGGAAAGAGAAGAGAGGCUGGGAGCGGAUGGAAAGCAUGACUGCAUCUGGAGCCCCUGGGGGGAGUGGGGAAGAGGGAGUGGAAGGACAGUGGCUGAGGGGCUUCCUGUUGCAGCCUUCAGCUGGACUCAGGGUUGGGGUCACUGGAGGAGGAGGUGGCUUCCUGCCCCAUUGUUCUGGACUGCAGUGUUUCUUGGGAAUACUUACUGUAUGUGGAUUUUCAGUAACCAACUUGGAAAGCUGUAUUUGUUCCCAUGAUUCAGCAAACAAUGAGUACCUACUGUGUGUAGAAGCAGCAGGACAGCCUGUCAUCACUGGGAAAGAGGCCAGAAGAGCCGUUUGGCCAGGGUCUC
rnacentral:sRNA from 1 species